rnacentral:lncRNA from 1 species
AAUAUGACCAGAAGUUUAAGAAUAACUUCUUUGUUCUCCUUCUUAUUAAAGAGGGAGCCCAGUGAAGAUGGUACUUGGGCCCUGAGCAGUUCCCUAGUCAUGGCUGGAUUUUCAGCCAAAUUCAAAAGGAGUUUCAGAACCUGAAGUUUGGUUUCUUCAUUUCCCGCUGAAAAUAAACGAAAAAAGUCAGAAAUGGAAUUAGCAAGCAUGUGCUGAUACUCAUUAGUAACAGUCAUAUUUGUAAGCAAUCUCAGUCCAGCAAGCUGCACAGAUGAGUUCAAGCGAGAAGUGAUUGUGUCAUCACACACUUGAUUCAUGUAUACUUUAAGCCUGCGCUGAUUUUCAGCAUUCACACUCAAGUUAUUCAGGACAAUUAAAGCCUUUUCCUUAACUAUGGGAUCCCGAGUAUUGAGAAUCUUUGCGACAAUUGGGAGACCACCCAGAUCACGAAUAAUAUCUCUGUUAAAUGCAUAAGCAGCAUUGUUACCCAGAGCAAUUAAAGCUGCUUCAAGAAUAUAAGGCUUUUCAGACAUCUCAACCAAGCAAAGAACCUUUUGUAGCUCUUGAGGGGACAAAACGGUAUCAUCUGAAUUGGGGGAAGCCCGUUUCUGGACAGCCCGACGUGCCCGGGUAGCCCUGGCCCUUGCCCUGGCCCUAGCUCUGGUUCCAGCUUCAGUCCCAAUCCGAGCCCAAGGUGGGUACCAUACUAUACUCUUGCUCUCAUUGCUGUCAUCAUCAUCAUCAGACCAGUCAUUAUACCUGGCCCCAGAACAGUCCCCAGCAUCAUCCACAUCCCCAGAUCCACCCUCAGCCAUUUUUUCCUUGUUCUGUUUUCUUCCCCUAGUCAGUCUAUAAAUGCAAUAGCAGGCGCCAGCCCCAAUCACCAGGCCUGCGGUCACCCAGCCUACUUUCCUGGCGUAGCCCAUGCAAUCGUCCCCGACAAUAGCAGGGACCAAGGAAUAGAGUAGUCACUCAGGCUGGGGGAGGAAGGCUGUGGGACUGGGCUCAAGCCUGUGGAGGGUGAUCGUCUUCAGCCACUUCAAGGCCACAAGAGCUGAUUCUGGGGGUUGACCUAGGAGUGGAAGAAGAAAAUUGGGUUUGAGUUUCUCUUCUGCUUGUGUUGCCCCAUGCAGGGAGCUGCACAGAGGGACAAGAUAAUAAUAAUUGAAUGCUAGGUAGGAAAUGUAGAUUGUUGACGAAAUCUCUAUGCCUCUCAUUUCAGCCUUUCCCUCCCCAUCCCAGGUCACCCCGCCCAAAGCCUAGAUAAUGUCAAUGGAAUCCACAGACUCUGCUGGGGUCUCAGUCACCACAACCUCAGAUGUCCCUAGGGACCUGACUAGAACCCUUGCACUAACCUCCUCAAGACAAGCAGUUCGCCCCUUCUUCUUUUCCCUAGUGGUGUGCCACUCCCAACAAUCUUUCCAAUCUGCAGAGAGACCAGAGCCAGUGAGAAUGGAGCACUUGAUGGGUUGACUGUUGAUUCGUUGCUUUCCUGAUUCACCAUUCCGGUUAUCAGGCAGCCCCCACGCCCACACCGACCUCUACUGAUCGGAGGAAACUUCCUCCCUCGCUUCAAGCGGAGCCACCUGCUACAGCAGACCUGCAGGAUGACAGAUCGAAAACAUGGAGACUCACCGUUUCGCAGCAUCGAAAUGGGCUGCAAGCGGGACAUAUGUCUUGGAAAGCGGGCGGCGAGUGGGAGAGACGACGGAGGCGCCUCAGUACCCGCGACGGUCUCGGCCCUACGCCCUCAAGCACCCCGACUUUAUGGAAUCUUCCAGGUACUGACCUGCAGGGAUUCGGGACAAUUUCCUUCUCCUCUUCCUUUUUCCCUCCGCCGCAGGCCGGCCCGCCCUCAGGGCAGUGGGGAGCUGGUACUCAGACGGGAACAACGACCAGGACAAGAAGGACUUCUGCACACGUCAGCUCUUGGUCACGUGAGGGCUACGUCAUCCACCAACUCGGGUCCCCAAUUUCCCCUCCCACCAGCAGUGCGGCAGAAGAGGGCCCGCCCCCCUCCUUUCCCUCCCCCACACCAGGCCUUAUUACUCUUUCUUCUUCGAUAAUCUCAUCACCUUGUAGUUGUGUUUCCCUUCCACCGAUUACCAGAAAGGGACGGCAUCUUCCCCUGGGGCUAUGGGCCACUUGUACUUUUAUGAAAAAUUGCCUCUUCCUUCCCUAGGCUCCUGGGACAGCAGCCUCUCCCUCCACCUCCCCUCCCCCGAGCUAUGAAAGUCUACCAU